GAUGAACGCUGGCGGCGUGCCUAAUACAUGCAAGUCGAGCGAACGGACGAGAAGCUUGCUUCUCUGAUGUUAGCGGCGGACGGGUGAGUAACACGUGGAUAACCUACCUAUAAGACUGGGAUAACUUCGGGAAACCGGAGCUAAUACCGGAUAAUAUUUUGAACCGCAUGGUUCAAAAGUGAAAGACGGUCUUGCUGUCACUUAUAGAUGGAUCCGCGCUGCAUUAGCUAGUUGGUAAGGUAACGGCUUACCAAGGCAACGAUGCAUAGCCGACCUGAGAGGGUGAUCGGCCACACUGGAACUGAGACACGGUCCAGACUCCUACGGGAGGCAGCAGUAGGGAAUCUUCCGCAAUGGGCGAAAGCCUGACGGAGCAACACCGCGUGAGUGAUGAAGGUCUUCGGAUCGUAAAACUCUGUUAUUAGGGAAGAACAGAUGUGUAAGUAACUGUGCACAUCUUGACGGUACCUAAUCAGAAAGCCACGGCUAACUACGUG
rnacentral:rRNA from 1 species